rnacentral:rRNA from 1 species
GGGAUGACACAGUAGGAUAAGCUAAGCACACUGUUGGUUAUGUGUGCCCAAGCAUUGAGGCAGUCAAAGUAGGCAAAUCCGCUUUGAUAAUGCUGGGAUGUGAUGGGGAGCGAAAUUUAGUAGCGAAGUAGCUGAUUUCACACUGUCAAGAAAAGUCUCUAUCGAGGUUAAAGGUACCCGUACCGCAAACCGACACAGGUGGGUGAGGAGAGUAUCCUAAGGCCAGCGAGAGAACUGUUGUUAAGGAACUCGGCAAAAUGACCCCGUAACUUAGGGAUAAGGGGUGCCACCAUCAGGUGGCCGCAGAGAAUAGGCCCAAGCGACUGUUUACCAAAAACAUAGGUUUCUGCUAAGUCGCAAGACGAUGUAUAGGAGCUGACGCCUGCCCGGUGCUGGAAGGUUAAGGGGAUCUGUUAGAGCAAUCGAAGCAGUGAACUUAAGCCCCAGUAAACGGCGGCCGUAACUAUAACGGUCCUAAGGUAGCGAAAUUCCUUGUCGGGUAAGUUCCGACCCGCACGAAAGGCGUAACGAUUUGGGCACUGUCUCAACAACAGACUCGGUGAAAUUGUAAUUCCGGUGAAGAUGCCGGAUACCUGCGACAGGACGGAAAGACCCCAUGGAGCUUUACUGUAGCUUGACAUUGGGUCUUGGUACUACAUGUACAGGAUAGGUGGGAGGCUUUGAAACCAGGACGCCAGUUUUGGCGGAGCCAUCCUUGGGAUACCACCCUUGUAGUACUGGGACUCUAACCAUAGGCCAUGAAUCUGGUCUUGGGACACUGUCAGGUGGGCAGUUUGACUGGGGCGGUCGCCUCCCAAAAGGUAACGGAGGCGCUCUAAGGUUCUCUCAGUACGGUCGGAAAUCGUACGUAGAGUGUAAAGGCAAAAGAGAGCUUGAUUGCAAGACGUACAGGUCGAGCAAGGAUGAAAAUCGGACUUAGUGAUCCGGUGGUUCUGCGUGGAAGGGCCAUCGCUCAACGGAUAAAAGCUACCCUGGGGAUAACAGGCUUAUCUCCCCCAAGAGUCCACAUCGACGGGGAGGUUUGGCACCUCGAUGUCGGCUCAUCACAUCCUGGGGCUGUAGUAGGUCCCAAGGGUUGGGCUGUUCGCCCAUUAAAGUGGUACGCGAGCUGGGUUCAGAACGUCGUGAGACAGUUCGGUCCCUAUCCGUCGCAGGCGUAGGAAAUUUGAGAAGACCUGUCCUUAGUACGAGAGGACCGGGAUGGACGUACCUCUGGUGUACCAGUUGUCCUGCCAAGGGCAUGGCUGGGUAGCUAUGUACGGAAUGGAUAAGCGCUGAAAGCAUCUAAGCGCGAAGCCAACUUCAAGAUAAGAUUUCCCACCGCAAGGGUAAGACCCCAGAAAGACUAUCUGGUUGAUAGGUCGAAGGUGUAAGUG